CAACACAAGUAUUCCAUAAACACAGAAUAAUAUGAAGGGACUUACCAACUUAUAUCUAAUUUGAAGUGAAGAUUUCCUGUAACUUGAAUUGAAAGGAUGAAGGAAUUGGGUUUGUAUCUUAAGAGUAAAAUUAUAAAGUGAAAGUUUACUAAUGAAAUGAAUUUGAGGGAUGCCUAAUUCGUAUCCUAUAUAUGAAGUAUUAAGAUAAGGUUUUCAUUGGUAAAUGGAAUUAUUACCUAGGGAAAAUGAAUUAGGAUAAGAUAAAUAGAUGUUUACUGUCAAGUUGUAAGUGUUUACGCCCCAAAAGAGGUUUACACCUCACCAUAAAGUGUUUACGGCCAAGACAAGGUGUUUUCAGCCACCAUGAAGUGUUUAUGGUCAAAGGAAUGGGUCUCAUGGUCCUAUGCCAACUGUGAACACCCUUUUGAUGUCAUUUUAUGAUCCGGAAGCCCCCAUUAAGAUGUUUAUAUUAGGCGACAACUCGUUUGUGAGGGUUAUUUAUGUUUUAAACCCAUCGUCUUUCAACCUAUUUUUAUUUAUAACACUCUAAUUUAGCUUAGUUUUCAAUCCAAACUUCUUUGUUAGUUUUUUUUAACUAAGGUCUAAUACUAUUGAUAAUAAAAUACAACAAGGAAUGGAAUGUAGUUUCACUCGUUUUUGGUUAAGGUUUGGGCUCUGCUAGGUCUAAAAUUUCGAGUUGUGGCACAUAAAUCAGGAAAGAAAGUUACUGCACAAUGAAGAUCCCUUUCCAUUUAGCUAACUGAGAAUAAGUUACAUGAAAGAUUUGGAAGAUGUAAAACGCCCUAGAUUCACAAACCACUAGGCAAGUUACAGACAUCCUUUCCUUCAACUAGUAUGCAGUCACCAUUUAGUAUAGUAACUGGUAACUCAUGUGUGGUCUCGUUUUUGCUUUCAAUAUAAUCUGCUAUGUCGAUGAUAUGCUCGGUUGCACCGGAGUCUAUAACCCAAUCACUACAAUGAUUUUCCUUCCCUGUCUUUUUAGCAAUUAUUUCUACGCACUCUUCAACUGAACCGUUCCAUUGUGUAAAGAUAUUCUGAAAUUGUUGAUAUUGUUCGUUGUUGAGUCCCGAUAUAGGACCUCUUUCAGUUUCUACAUUAGUCGCCUUAGUCUUUUCCCUUUCUUGUCUUCCCUUUUCUGAUCACCACUUUGGAUAACUUAUGAGUUUGAAGAAACCAUCACUGCUAUGACCAUGUUUUCCAUAAACCCCACAUUGUUCCAUUUGACCGAUUGAUCGUUUAUCACCAAUCAUGGCAAUUCUGUGGUUUUUAGGGAUUGUGGGUGAGUGACUCUUAUAAUCCACUCUGAUACCAUAUAAAAUUUUGUGUUGAUAAUAAAACUUAAUUCUUGGAGAACAAAGAACAGGAGGCCUAAAUAGGCAAAAUAUAAUAAAGAAAAGUCACUAAUCUUGGAAUAAGAAAUGGAAAACAUAACAGAGAAUAUAUAUAUAUAUAUAUAUAUANNNNNNNNNNNNNNNNNNNNNNAUAUAUAUAUAUAUAUAUAUAUAUGAAAUUCUAUAAACGAAGAUCCUCUUAACAGAUGAAAUUCUACAAAGUUUGCAAUUUUAGGCAAAUCAUAUGACAAAUCCUCAUUACCACAACUAAACAGUACCUAGAGUGUUGUUUUGAUUAUCAAAAUCAAAAAUUCAUUAAACAUAUGGAUAGUAGAUUUCAAAUGGAGUUAUAGUUUCUGCUUGUAUAAGAAGCCAUUGAAGUACAUGCUAUACAGCAGGGUGUGAGGGGUUUAUAUGGCAUGAUAUACUUAGUUCACUAUAAACAAUGCUCUGAUACCAAUCUGUCACACCCCAAACCGGAACGGCGGAAACGUUCGAGGGUAGAUGACGUCAUGUAUAGUAUCACAACAAUUUUAAAAUAGUAAUCAAAGCAACAACAACAAUUGUAUUGACAAUAUAUAAUUUACAUUGUGUUCAAAACAUUGCCUGAAUUACACAAAAACUAACACAAAAGAUAAGACGUAAUACUACAAUGCUCCGUCUUCACAACGCCAGAGAGGUUAUCUGUCUACUAAUUUUCCUGAGAAUAAAAGUAAUUUACAAAAAUGUCAACAUUAAAUUUGGUGAGUUCAUAAGCGUUUUUGUAUUAAAAAUUAAAUUCUUUAUUCUUUGGAAAAGUUCGUGUAUUUCUCCAAAAAGUCCUAUGUGUUCUUAUUAGUUGAAUGGAAUGUAGUCUUAGUACCCUAAGAAAAAAUAUAUAAGUUUCUUAUACUUAACGAAUAAUGCUUUGAAAUUAUAUAAGUAAUCGUAUUUGUUUCUAGAAAAUUGGAUUGUAAAUCGUCUAUUUGUAAAAUGAUGAUCUUUAUCCUGGAAAAUCCUAUAUUUUCCAUAAGUUGUGUUGUAGUCUAAUAUGAUCCAAGACCGAAAGGUACAAGUAUAUUCAAUACUUAAGAUCGUUCUAACUAGCUUUAUAUGAAUAUAAAAUUAUUUGAAGAGAUGAGUUUAUACGUAAAAAUCCACGUAUAGUUGUUUAUUAUGUGAGUUUCAUUUAUUUAUAAAACCGUUGAAGAGCCGUGUUGUUGCAUAGAAAUAAAUGUGUUGUAAAUUUUACUUAAAAUAACAUGUUGUCGUUUAUCCUAGAAAAAUACUAUAUUUUCCCUUAAAGCUAAUUUGUAGUCUUAAUUGCCCCAAGACCGAAAAAUGUAAGUAUAUUACCAUACUUAGUUUAAUGACAUGUAGUUUUCUUCGUUUAUAAAAUCAUUUGAAGAGAUAUGUUUAUACGUAAAAAUAAGUGUAUUAUUAGUUUCACGUAAAAUAACGUAUUGUCGUUUAUCAUCUGAGUUCUCAUAACCGUGCUAACUAAUGGUUUGCCUGCCGCAACGUUCUUCAAGCGUCAUUAAGUUUGAUAUUUUUCACCCAUAACCUGUCGGUUGUGUUGUAGCUAACAGCCAAGGUGAGGGGUCAUCAAUCCCAUAUAGAUCUAUACACAAGUAUCGUGAUCUCCGGGAGGAGACUCCGGUUAUCAAAUCGGACUUCCAUGUAUACCUUGGUAGGUAUAACGUAGACGAUGUCUCACUAAUUUCCAAUGAGUUUAUGUAUUUUUGAAAUGAAACUGUUCGUAUAUAAUAUUGUUACCAUUUUUGUAAUAGUUAUAAAAUUUAAAAAUAAACGAAUAUUUUUAUAUAAUCUUUUCUUGGUCCCGAAUGGGUAAAAUAAUGUGAAUGUUUUCCAAAUUAUACCUAUUAUAGUUUAACAUGUAUUAUUUCAUUGAAAACGAUGUCCCUUUUGUUUUAACGUGUUUUGCAUGUAAUUGUUUACAAAUUUCGUAUUUCUACAUAAAAGGUAUUUAAACGUAAUUAAAAUGUAAAGCGAUGAUUUGUAUAUUAACAAAAGUUUCUUGUGUUUUACUUGUAUCCCUCCCCCUUAAAACAAGGAAAAAGUUAUUGAAAAGCAUAGGGGUAUGAACUCACCUUAUGUGUGGUUGCGGUUUAGAAAACGAUGACUUGAAGCUAGUAUACGGGAAGGAUGUUGUAAUCCUAAUGGUUUUAAACACACAAUAGUGUGUGAAUAAGAUGUUUUAACAACACAAGUAUUCCAUAAACACAUAAUACUAUGAAGGGACUUACCAACUUAUAUCUAAUUUGAAGUGAAGAUUUCCUGUAACUUGAAUUGAAAGGAUGCAGGAAUUGGGUUUGUAUUUUAAGAGUAAAAUUAUAAAGUGAAAGUUUACUAAUGAAAUGAAUUUGAGGGAUGCCUAAUUCGUAUCCUAUAUAUGAAGUAUUAAGAUAAGGUUUGCAUUGGUAAAUGGAAUUAUUACCUAGGGAAAAUGAAUUAGGAUAAGAUAAAUAGAUGUUUACUGUCAAGUUGUAAGUGUUUAUGCCCCAAAAGAGGUUUACACCUCACCAUAAAGUGUUUACGGCCAAGACGAGGUGUUUUCAGCAACCAUGAAGUGUUUAUGGUCAAAGGAAUGGGUUUCAUGGUCCUAUGCCAACUGUGAACACCCUUUUGAUGUCAUUUUAAGAUCCGUAAACCCCCAUUGAGAUGUUUAUAUUAGGCGACAACUCGUUUGUGAGGGUUAUUUAUGUUUUAAACCCAUAGUCUUUCAACCUAUUUUUAUUUAUAACACUCUAAUUUAGCUUAGUUUUCAAUCCAAACUUCUUUGUUAGUUUUUUUUUAACUAAGGUCUAAUACUAUUGACAAUAAAAUACAACAAGGAAUGGAAUGUAGUUUCACUUGUUUUUGGUUAAGGUUUAGGCUCUGCUAGGUCUAAAAUUUCGAGUUGUGGCACAUAAAUCAGGAAAGAAAGUUACUGCACAAUGAAGAUCCCUUUCCAUUUAGCUAACUGACAAUAAGUUGCAUGUAAGCUUUGGAACAUGUAAAACGCCCUAGAUUCACAAACCACUAGGCAAGUUACAGACACCCUUUCCUUCAACUAGUAUGCAGUCACCAUUCAAUAUAGUAACUGGUAACUCAUGUGUGGUCUCUAUUUUGCUUUCAAUAUAAUCUUCUCUAUCGAUGAUAUGCUCGGUUGCACCGGAGUCUAUAACCCAAUCACUACAAUGAUUUUCCUUCCCUGUCUUUUGAGCAGUUAUUUCUAUGCAUUCUUCAACUGAACCGUUCCAUUGUGUAAAGAUAUUCUGAAAUUGUUGAUAUUGUUCGUUGUUGAGUCCCGAUAUAGGACCUCUUUCAGUUUCUACAUUAGUCGCCUUAGUUUUUUCCCUUUCUUGUCUUCCCUUUUCUAAUUACCACUUUGGAUAACUUAUAAGUUUGAAGAAACCAUCACUGCUAUGACCAUGUUUUCCAUAAACCCCACAUUGUUCCAUUUGACCGAUUGAUCGUUUAUCACCAAUCAUGGCAAUUCUGUGGUUUUUAGGGAUUUUGGGUGAACGACUCUUAUAAUCCACUCUGAUACCAUAUAAAAUUUUGUUUUGAUAAUAAAACUUAAUUCUUGGAGAACGAAGAACAGGAGGCCUAAAUAGGCAAAAUAUAAUAAAGAAAAUUCACUAAUCUUGGAAUAAGAAAUGGAAAACAUAACAGAGAAUAUAUAUANGAAGAUCCUCUUAACAGAUGAAAUUCUACAAAGUUUUUAAUUUUAGGCAAAUCAUAUGACAAAUCCUCAUUACCACAACUAAACAGUACCUAGAGUGUUGUUUUGAUUAUCAAAAUAAAAAAUUCAUUAAACAGAUGGAUAGUAGAUUUCAAAUGGAAUUAUAGUUUCUGCUUGUAUAAGAAGCCAUUGAAGUACAUGCUAUAUAGCAGGGUGUGAGGGGUUUAUAUGGCAUGAUAUGCUUAGUUCAAUAUAAACAAUGCUCUGAUACCAAUCUGUCACACCCCCAAACCGGAACGGGGGAAACGUUCGAAGGUAGAUGACGUCAUGUAUAGUAUCACAACAAUUUUAAAAUAGUAAUCAAAGCAACAACAACAAUUGUAUUGACAAUAUAUAAUUUACAUUGUGUUCAAAACAUUGCCUGAAUUAGACAAAAACUAACACAAAAGAUAAGACGUAAUACUACAAUGCUCCGUCUUCACAACGCCUGUGAGGGUAUCUGUCUACUAAUUUUCCUGAGAAUAAAAGUAAUUUACAAAAGUGUUAACAUUAAAUUUGGUGAGUUCAUAAGCGUUUUUGUUAUAAAAAUUAAAUUCUUUAUUCUUUGGAAAAGUUCGUGUAUUUCUCCAAAAAGUCUUAUGUGUUCUUAUUAGUUGAAUGGAAUGUAGUCUUAGUACCCUAAGAAAAAAUAUAUAAGUUUCUUAUACUUAACGAAUAAUGCUUUGAAAUUAUAUAAGUAAUCGUAUUUGUUUCUAGAAAAUUGGAUUGUAAAUCGUCUAUUUGUAAAAUAAUGAUCUUUAUCCUGGAAAAUCCUAUAUUUUCCAUAAGUUGUGUUGUAGUCUAAUAUGAUCCAAGACCGAAAGGUACAAGUAUAUUCAAUACUUAAAAUCGUUCUAACUAGCUUUAUAUGAAUAUAAAAUUAUUUGAAGAGAUGAGUUUAUACGUAAAAAUCCACGUAUAGUUGUUUAUUAUGUGAGUUUCAUUUAUUUAUAAAACCGUUGAAGAGCUGUGUUUUCACAUAGAAAUAAAUGUGUUGUAAAUUUUACUUAAAAUAACAUGUUGUCAUUUAUCCUAGAAAAAUACUAUAUUUUCCCUUAAAGCUAAUUUGUAGUCUUAAUUGCCCCAAGACCGAAAAAUGUAAGUAUAUUACCAUACUUAGUUUAAUGACAUGUAGUUUUAUUCGUUUAUAAAAUCAUUUGGAGAGAUCUGUUUAUACGUAAAAAUAAGUGUAUUGUCAGUUUCACGUAAAAUAACAUAUUGUCGUUUGUCAUAUGAGUUCUCAUAACCGUGCUAACUAGUGGUUUGCCUGCCGCAACGUUCUUCAAGCAUCAUUAUGUUUGAUAUUUUUCACCCAUAACCUGUCGGUUCUGUUGUAGCUAACAGCCAAGGAGAGGGGUCAUCUAUUCCAUAUAGAUCUAUACACAACUAUCGUGAUCUCCGGGAGGAGACUCGGGUUAUCAAAUCGGACUUCCAUGUAUACCUUGGUAGGUAUAACGAAGACAAUGUCUCACUAAUUUCCAAUGAGUUUACGUAUUUUUGAAAUGAAACUGUUCGUAUAUAAAAUUGUUACCAUUUUUGUAAUAGUUAUAAAAUUUAAAAAUAAACGAAUAUUUUUAUAUAAUCUUUUCUUGGUCCCGAAUGGGUAAAUAAUGUGAAUGUUUUCCAAAUUAUACCUAUUAUAGUUUAACAUGUAUUAUUUCAUUGAAAACGAUGUCCGUUUUGUUUUAACGUGUUUUGCAUGUAACUGUUUACAAAUUUCGUAUUUCUACAUAAAACGUAUUUAAACGUAAUUAAAACGUAAAGCGAUGAUUUGUAUAUUAACACAAGUUUCUUGUGUUUUACUUGUUUCCCUCCCCUCUAAAACAAGGAAAAAGUUAUUGAAAAGCAUAGGGGUAUGAACUCACCUUAUGUGUGGUCGCGGUUUAGAAAACGGUGACUUCAAGCUAGUAUACAGGAAGGAUGUCGUAAUCCUAAUGGUUUUAAACACACAAUAGUGUGUGAAUAAGAUUUUUAACAACACAAGUAUUCCAUAAACACAGAACAAUAUGAAGGGACUUACCAACUUAUAUCAAAUUUGAAGUGAAGAUUUCCUGUAACUUGAAUUGAAAGGAUGAUGGAAUUGGGUUUGUAUCUUAAGAGUAAAAUUAUAAAGUGAAAGUUUACUAAUGAAAUGAAUUUGAGGGAUGCCUAAUUCGUAUCCUAUAUAUGAAGUAUUAAGAUAAGGUUUGCAAAUGUAAAUGGAACUAUUACCUAGGGAAAAUGAAUUAGGAUAAGAUAAAUAGAUGUUUACUGUCAAGUUGUAAGUGUUUACGCCCCAAAAGAGGUUUACACCUCACCAUAAAGUGUUUACGGCCAAGACGAGGUGUUUUCA
rnacentral:lncRNA from 1 species